rnacentral:rRNA from 1 species
UACAGAGGGUGCAAGCGUUGUUCGGAAUUAUUGGGCGUAAAGGGCGCGUAGGCGGUGCGGUAAGUCUGCGGUGAAAUCUCCCGGCUCAACUGGGAGGCUGCCGUGGAAACUGCCGUGCUUGAGUGUGGGAGAGGUGAGUGGAAUUCCCGGUGUAGCGGUGAAAUGCGUAGAUAUCUGGAGGAACACCGGUGGCGAAGGCGGCAUCCUGGACCAACACUGACACUGAGGAGCGAAAGCCAGGGGAGCAAACGGG